CUCACGGCUCUAUUUUGGGGUUCCAUGAUCUCAUGCCCUCGCAAGACCACACAGCGAUUCCAGUCUAGCCCUUGCUGGGCUACCCGGGGCGAUUCCUGCAAGGGUUUUGUCAGUAUGUGUGCUAACAACUAUUCUUGGUUGUAUAUUUGGGUUGAAACCAAGCUGUGCCAAAGAAGUAAAAAGUUGCAAAGGCCGCUGCUUUGAAAGGACAUUCAGCAACUGUCGCUGUGAUGCUGCCUGUGUCAGCCUUGGGAACUGCUGUCUGGAUUUCCAGGAGACCUGUGUGGAACCAA